rnacentral:misc_RNA from 1 species
CCGAGUUUACAACUCCCAAACCCCUGUGAACAUACCUAUCGUUGCUUCGGCGGAUCCGCCCCGGCGCCCUCGGGCCCGGAUCAGGCGCCCGCCGGAGACCCCAAACUCUUGUAUUUCUUUAGUAUCUUCUGAGUAAACAAGCAAAUAGAUUA